rnacentral:rRNA from 1 species
CCAGAUACACGUAUGAAAGACAAGCUGAAAGACUUUUCUCAAUGAUGUAAGUGGUGGUGCAUGGUCGUUCUUAGUUCGUGGAUUGAUUUGUCUGGUCUAUUCCGAUAACGAGCGAGACCCCAACGUUCCUAAUAGGGGUAGCAGCCCGGCUUGCCCUUCACGGGGCUUGCUAGCAGCUACCUCAACUAGCUUCUUAGACGUAUCAGGGCCGAUAAGGUCCUUGAAAUGGGUUAAUAACAGGUUAUAACUGGCCUGUAAAAGUGUAGCUGGCGAAAGCCAGCUAUGCUAGUGGGGGACUUCGGUCAUCUGCGACACCUUCAAAUUGCGGGGACACCCUAUUCAAAGUAUACCUACAACCAUCUCAGUUGAAAAGCUGGGUGGCGUAAUAAUGGUGUACCUGGGGCAAUCCGCAGCCAAGCCCUAAACGAGACGCUCCGGCUCUCGCAUGGGUGCAGUUCACAGGCUAAAUGUAGGUGGGGCCUCUCUGAUCGGUACUCUGAACCAAUAAGGGGUACUGUAGGGGUCUUAAGAUAUAGUCGAUAUUGGUGUUAAUAGCACCAAGGGAAAGCAGUCAUGCCCUUAGAUGUUCUGGGCCGCACGCGCGUUACAAUGGUAUACAUUAGAACGUGCUCACAAGGGCUUUUCCGCAGCCUACAGGUUGCGGUAACCCUUAGUCUCUUCCUUGACUGGGACAGACUAUUGCAAUUAUUGGUCUCAAACGAGGAAUUUUUAGUAGUCGCAGGUCAUUAACCUGCGACGAAU